UACGUAGGGUGCGAGCGUUGUCCGGAUUUAUUGGGCGUAAAGAGCUCGUAGGCGGUUUGUCGCGUCUGCCGUGAAAGUCCGGGGCUCAACUCCGGAUCUGCGGUGGGUACGGGCAGACUAGAGUGAUGUAGGGGAGACUGGAAUUCCUGGUGUAGCGGUGAAAUGCGCAGAUAUCAGGAGGAACACCAAUGGCGAAGGCAGCUCGCUGGGACGGUACUGACGCUGGAGACGCGAAAGCGUGGGGAGCAAACAGGAUAGAUACCCCGUGUAAGUCCAG
rnacentral:rRNA from 1 species